UCCGUAGUAGCUCAAUGGUGGAGCAUUCGGCUGUUAACCGACAGGUUGGAGGUUCGAGCCCUCUCUACGGAG
rfam:Clostridium bornimense replicon M2/40_rep1, complete genome, type strain M2/40T